GACGAACGCUGGCGGCGUGCCUAAUACAUGCAAGUAGAACGCUGAAGACUUUAGCUUGCUAAAGUUGGAAGAGUUGCGAACGGGUGAGUAACGCGUAGGUAACCUGCCUACUAGCGGGGGAUAACUAUUGGAAACGAUAGCUAAUACCGCAUAACAGCAUUUAACCCAUGUUAGAUGCUUGAAAGGAGCAAUUGCUUCACUAGUAGAUGGACCUGCGUUGUAUUAGCUAGUUGGUGGGGUAACGGCUCACCAAGGCGACGAUACAUAGCCGACCUGAGAGGGUGAUCGGCCACACUGGGACUGAGACACGGCCCAGACUCCUACGGGAGGCAGCAGUAGGGAAUCUUCGGCAAUGGGGGCAACCCUGACCGAGCAACGCCGCGUGAGUGAAGAAGGUUUUCGGAUCGUAAAGCUCUGUUGUAAGAGAAGAACGUGUGUGAGAGUGGAAAGUUCACACAGUGACGGUAACUUACCAGAAAGGG
rnacentral:rRNA from 1 species